GUGAUUCUGAUGUGCAAAACAUGUGAGACCCGCUGCUUUAGUUGCAUUGCCUAAUUUAACUCUCGCAAAAGUGCUAAGAGAAUCCCUAUUAAAGGGAAGACAAAGAAACUCAGAAAGGUUAAAGCAGCCAGGUGCUACCUACAGAGAAUGGUUCCCCAGGCCUUUGCAAACUGACCGCGAGAGGCCAGAAGAGCACGCAAGUAGGAGUAAAGGGCUUGGUGUCUGGAGGCUUUUGGUGUAAAAAGCAGCAGGGAAGCCUUAUUCCACGGUUUCCCUUUGUCCCACACGUAGCCAGCUUGCCCACCCUAGAGGGGAUCUUUGGCUUCUUUUGGUGUCAGCAGCUGGCUGUGCUCUGCAGGAGGUGGCAGCUGAGGAUCUGUCUGGGAAGUGUAUUGCUCAGGGUGGGCGUGCUCUGUGCAUGGUGGGGUGAAGAGGGGCACAGGAGGCCAGCUGUUGGCUCUAGGACCAUGCAAAGAUUGGCGCCAGUGCCAUUUGGUCUCGGCUGCUGCAUCCCGUGACCCCAGGGAACUGCAGCGCUUGCCGCUCGCUGGAGCUGGAUGAAGACCCCCUAUUUGAUAGAGAUGGCCAAAACAGAAGGAGGAAGCUGGAGGGGGGACCUCUGGGUUGUGGAGCCAUCUUUAGUCACCAGGAAGGGACCGGGAGAACCAGGAUUGAAGGAACAGCCUGCUUCACGCGCGCCUCGGGAGAACAGAUGCAAGCCACUGGCCCUUUGCAGGGAAUAAAUGCAAUAUGGGGCUUCAACUCUAAAGAAGCUCCUUGCAUCCUCUUGGUGGCACCACUGUUGUCACCAAGCAGCUGCUGGUUUGCUAGGGAGGGGACACCUAUGUGGAAGUUUCGGUAAUUGUUUUCAAAUGUCAAUGUCAAGGAUUUUUUUUUCUUUUUGUAGUAAUACAGAUAAAGAAGGAUUGAACCAGUCCUUUCUCAGAAUUUGGUCCAGCUGGUCAGAAUCACUGGUGAGCUUGUUAAAAUGCAGAUUCUCAGUCCAAGUCGCAGAUGAAUUGAUUGGAAUUUGUGAGAGACACACCCCAGGAAUGGACGUUUUAUAGAUGCUCCCCAAUGAUUCACGUGUUCAUAAAAGCUUAGUAGUCACUGCCUUAAACCUUUUGUGGCUCCAGAUGGAGUUAGAAGUGAAUUGCUUAGAAAUGAAGUAUAGGGGGCUGGCCCGGUGGUGCAGCGGUUAAGUUCGCACGUUCUGCUUCUCGGCAGCCUGGGGUUUGCCGGUUCGGAUCCGGGUGCAGACAUGGCACCGCUUGGCAAGCCAUGCUGUGGUAGGUAUCCCACAUAUAAAGUAGAGGAAGAUGGGCAUGGAUGUUAGCUCAGGGCCAGGCUUCCUCAGCAAAAAGAGGAGGACUAGCAGUAGUUAGCUCAAGGCUAAUCU
rnacentral:lncRNA from 1 species